UUGUGUUGGUUUCUCUCUUUCAUUACAGCAUAAAAGUAUUUGUUAUUACCAUCCCCUAGAUGAAUCCAUUUGGCUCGAGCUUUCUGUUGUAAUAUUGAUUCUUCCAACAGAGACCAUUUUUCCAGUUGAAGUAUCAGAUCUUUUUCUCUUAGUUGCAAUGAAUCAAAAUAGGCACUAGUCAUCUGGUGUUGUAAAGCUUCCAGUUCCUUACGGCUGACCUCAAUUUUCUGUGAAAUUGUCUUAAAUUCUCUGGUAUUUAGAGAUUUCAAGACUGGUUUAAGGGACUUGAGGUUGUUCCAC
rnacentral:lncRNA from 1 species